UACAGAGGGGGCAAGCGUUGUUCGGAAUUACUGGGCGUAAAGGGCGCGUAGGCGGCCCGCUAAGUCGAACGUGAAAUCCCCGAGCUCAACUCGGGAACUGCGUCCGAUACUGGCGGGCUUGAAUCCGGGAGAGGGAUGCGGAAUUCCAGGUGUAGCGGUGAAAUUCGUAGAUAUUAGGAAGAACACCAGUGGCGAAGGCGGCUCACUGGCCCGGUACUGACGCUGAGGCGCGAAAGCGUGGGGAGCAAACAGG
rnacentral:rRNA from 1 species